UUCUUUCUUACAUACCUGUGUUUCAACACUCGGAUUAUCUCUCCGGCAACGUCUUCCUGGUGGUGGAAGUGGUGAACACUGAAGGCCAAGUAACAAGUUAGCAAAAUGGGACCUGGUGGACCGGGAGGAGGGCCGGGAGGACCUGGUGGACCGGGAGGAUGGGGAGGAGGACCUGGUGGUUGGGGUCCUGGCCCCGGAGGACCUGGCGGAUUUGGGCCUGGAGGUCCUGGUUGGGGUCCGGGACCUGGAGGUCCUGGUUGGGGUCCGGGACCUGGAGGUCCCUGGGGCCCUGGAUUUGGAGGUCCUGGUUUUUGGCCUGGUGGGUUCUUUGGCGGCUUUGCAGAUGGUUUGUGCAAUAUGAUAUCUUCCUGGUAAGCAAUCAAAUCUUUACUCAAUUCCGGUAUAGUUAAAUGCGGUUUGAUUGAGGUUAAAUUUGAUUGGGAUUGCAGCUUCUACUGU
rnacentral:lncRNA from 1 species